CAAAACAUUGGCAUCUAUGGGAGUUGUGGCCAAGGAAAUAAAAUACCUGAGCAACCUUAUACCCAGUAUGCAUUUCAUACCAGGAUCAAGUCACUAAUGACAGCCAAGUUCCAGGCUUAUCUAUGGCUGCCUAAUGAGACUGGCCCCACUAGGAUGGGGACUGGGGAGGGGACACACAUGAGUGCCCAAGCUUCAGUCUACACCUCCC
rnacentral:lncRNA from 1 species